rnacentral:rRNA from 1 species
UACGUAGGAUGCAAGCGUUGUCCGGAAUUAUUGGGCGUAAAGAGCUCGUAGGCGGUCUGUCGCGUCGGUCGUGAAAACUUGGGGCUUAACCCUGAGCUUGCGGUCGAUACGGGCAUGACUGGAGUUCGGCAGGGGAGACUGGAAUUCCUGGUGUAGCGGUGAAAUGCGCAGAUAUCAGGAGGAACACCGGUGGCGAAGGCGGGUCUCUGGGCCGGUACUGACGCUGAGGAGCGAAAGCGUGGGGAGCAAACAGG